UACGGAGGGGGCUAGCGUUGUUCGGAAUUACUGGGCGUAAAGCGCACGUAGGCGGCUUUGUAAGUUAGAGGUGAAAGCCUGGUGCUCAACACCAGAACUGCCUUUAAGACUGCAUCGCUUGAAUCAUGGAGAGGCGGGUGGAAUUCCGAGUGUAGAGGUGAAAUUCGUAGAUAUUCGCAAGAACACCAGUGGCGAAGGCGGCUCACUGGCCCGGUACUGACGCUGAGGUGCGAAAGCGUGGGGAGCAAACAGG
rnacentral:rRNA from 1 species